CAGCAGCCGCGGUAAUACGAAGGGUGCAAGCGUUACUCGGAAUUACUGGGCGUAAAGCGUGCGUAGGUGGUGGUUUAAGUCCGUUGUGAAAGCCCUGGGCUCAACCUGGGAAUUGCAGUGGAUACUGGAUCACUAGAGUGUGGUAGAGGAUAGUGGAAUUUCCGGUGUAGCAGUGAAAUGCGUAGAGAUCGGAAGGAACAUCUGUGGCGAAGGCGACUAUCUGGGCCAACACUGACACCGAGGCACGAAAGCGUGGGGAGCAAACAGGAUUAGAUACCCGUGUAGUCCCUGUCUCUUAUAC
rnacentral:rRNA from 1 species